AUUGAACGCUGGCGGCAUGCCUUACACAUGCAAGUCGAACGGUAACGGGCCUUCGGGUGCCGACGAGUGGCGAACGGGUGAGUAAUGUAUCGGAACGUACCUUUCAGUGGGGGAUAACGUAGCGAAAGUUACGCUAAUACCGCAUAUUCUGUGAGCAGGAAAGCAGGGGAUCGCAAGACCUUGCGCUGAUUGAGCGGCCGAUAGCAGAUUAGCUAGUUGGUGAGGUAAAGGCUCACCAAGGCGACGAUCUGUAGCGGGUCUGAGAGGAUGAUCCGCCACACUGGAACUGAGACACGGUCCAGACUCCUACGGGAGGCAGCAGUGGGGAAUUUUGGACAAUGGGGGCAACCCUGAUCCAGCCAUGCCGCGUGAGUGAAGAAGGCCUUCGGGUUGUAAAGCUCUUUCGGCCGGGAAGAAAUCGUAUCAGCUAAUACCUGGUGCGGGUGACGGUACCGGCAUAAGAAGCACCGGCUAACUACGUGCCAGCCGCCGCAGUAAAAC
rnacentral:rRNA from 1 species